rnacentral:rRNA from 1 species
UGCCAGCCGCCGCGGUAAUGCGGAGGGUGCAAGCGUUAUCCGGAUUUAUUGGGUUUAAAGGGUGCGUAGGCGGAAUAAUAAGUCAGUGGUGAAAUCCUGCGGCUCAACCCCGGAAGUGCGUUGGAUACUGGCAGUCUUGAGUAUGGGAGAGGAAAGUGGAAUUCCGAGUGUAGGAGUGAAAUCCGUAGAUAUUCGGAGGAACACCAGUGGCAAAGGCGGCUUUCUGGACCGAUACUGACGCUGAGACGCGAAAGCGUGGGGAGCAAACAGGAUUAGAUA